UACGUAGGGGGCAAGCGUUGUCCGGAUUUAUUGGGCGUAAAGAGCGUGUAGGCGGCUUGGUAGGUCUGCUGUGAAAACUCGAGGCUCAACCUCGAGAGGUCGGUGGAAACCGUCUGGCUAGAGUCCGGAAGAGGAGAGUGGAAUUCCCGGUGUAGCGGUGAAAUGCGCAGAUAUCGGGAAGAACACCCGUGGCGAAGGCGGCUCUCUGGGACGGUACUGACGCUGAGACGCGAAAGCGUGGGGAGCGAACAGG
rnacentral:rRNA from 1 species